UUCGUAAUCUCUUCAUCCCGAAUUACUUCUCUUGAAUUUGUCUAAAUACGGAUGUAUCUAGACACGGUUUAGUGUUAGGUACAUCCAUGUCUAGACAAAUGUAAGACAUGUAAUUUGGGACAGAGGUAAAUACUAC
rnacentral:pre_miRNA from 1 species